AGGAAUAUUGGUCAAUGGACGAGAGUCUGAACCAGCCAAGUAGCGUGAAGGAUGAAGGUUCUAUGGAUUGUAAACUUCUUUUAUACGGGAAUAAACGAAUCCACGUGUGGAUUUUUGUAUGUACCGUAUGAAUAAGGAUCGGCUAACUCCGUGCCAGCAGCCGCGGUAAUACGGAGGAUCCGAGCGUUAUCCGGAUUUAUUGGGUUUAAAGGGAGCGUAGGCGGGUUGUUAAGUCAGUUGUGAAAGUUUGCGGCUCAACCGUAAAAUUGCAGUUGAUACUGGCGACCUUGAGUGCAACAGAGGUAGGCGGAAUUCGUGGUGUAGCGGUGAAAUGCUUAGAUAUCACGAAGAACUCCGAUUGCGAAGGCAGCUUACUGGAUUGUAACUGACGCUGAUGCUCGAAAGUGUGGGUAUCAAACAGGAUUAGAUACCCUGGUAGUCCACACAGUAAACGAUGAAUACUCGCUGUUGGCGAUAUACAGUCAGCGGCCAAGCGAAAGCAUUAAGUAUUCCACCUGGGGAGUACGCCGGCAACGGUGAAACUCAAAGGAAUUGACGGGGGCCCGCACAAGCGGUGGAGUAUGUGGUUUAAUUCGAUGAUACGCGAGGAACCUUACCCGGGCUUAAAUUGCAACUGACGGAACCGGAAACGGUUCUUUCUUCGGACAGUUGUGAAGGUGCUGCAUGGUUGUCGUCAGCUCGUGCCGUGAGGUGUCGGCUUAAGUGCCAUAACGAGCGCAACCCUUAUCGAUAGUUACUAGCAGGUAAUGCUGAGGACUCUAUCGAGACUGCCGUCGUAAGAUGUGAGGAAGGUGGGGAUGACGUCAAAUCAGCACGGCCCUUACGUCCGGGGCUACACACGUGUUACAAUGGGGGGUACAGAAGGCAGCUACACGGCGACGUGGUGCUAAUCCCAAAAGCCUCUCUCAGUUCGGAUUGGAGUCUGCAACCCGACUCCAUGAAGCUGGAUUCGCUAGUAAUCGCGCAUCAGCCACGGCGCGGUGAAUACGUUCCCG
rnacentral:rRNA from 1 species